AUGAUGUAUACCAGAUUUCGCAGAAAUACAAAUCAAAUUCCAAUAUUGAAGGUUUUACAUCCUUCAUUCUAUGCCUACUUCACGGUUUCAACCCACACACACAAUUGCUUAGUAAUUCUUAUAUGCGUGUAUAUUUUUCUUUGAAACCUAUUACAGAUAUACAUGCAAGGAUACAAUGAUUUGCUUGAAUUACAGACUUUUAAAGAAAAUACAAAGAGUAUACAGUUUAGUAAUUGAAUUUGUGCUAAUUUCUCUAUGUCUUUUUGAACUGAAUUUGAGGCUUGAAACCUUUGAGGGGGGGGCUGACCCUGCUGUGUGUGUGUGAGUCGAGAUCAGAGGGAGGCGGCAGCUGCGGCGGCUCGUCGCCGGCGACGGAGCGGCGGCGGUGAACCUGCCGUUGUUUUCGUUCUGCCAAAGGGAAAAAGAAGAGAGAGGGAUUUCAGAUUUUUAUUUAGAAAAGGGGAAAAAUAGAAAAUGAAGGAUUAGAGCUUACCUUAGGCUGCCGGCGACGGCGAGGCGGCGGCUGGUACUCCGAAGACGGCACAUGCAGUGGAGGAGUGACCUCUGCCGACCUGUUCUAGGGUCGAGAACGGCCGGGAAACGAUGGCAACCGGCGAGAGCCGUGUUCUGCCAUGGCGGAUGGGCGGUGCUAGAUCUGGAAAAGGAGGGGUGGCGGCUGGGCUGUGCUGCUGUCGACGCAGUGGAGGAGACCUUGCCGACCUGUUCUAGGGUCGAGAACGGCCGGGAAACGAUGGCAACCGGCGAGAGCCGUGUUCUGCCAUGGCGGAUGGGCGGUGCUAGAUCUGGAAAAGGAGGGGUGGCGGCUGGGCUGUGCUGCUGUCGACGCAGGGCGGCGAUGGCGGUGGAAGAAGGCGGCCGUGUGGCCGGAGAUGAGGAACAGGCGGCGGCCCACCGCGUUAAUGGUGUCUGCUGUCCUGUUUCCGGCAGAGUGAGCGAGAGAGAUAGAGGCGAGAGGGUGAGAGAGGAGAGUUCAGGGAGAGAUGAGAGGAGCCGACGCCGAAGCCUCCGUCCGGCGAGCGUCCCGGCGAGGCGGCGGCAGGCGGACAAGAUUCGUCCGAGAGAGAGAGCAGAGAGAGUCGGG
rnacentral:lncRNA from 1 species